CAACAACUGAAACAUUAAUUCAGCUUGAAGGAUGAAGCAAAAUCUAAACGGGAUGAGAAAGGACUUGGUAACGGACGGAACGAUUUCCAAGUCGUAUGUAAAAUAAUCCCUCUAGCCUCCUUAGACGUAGCCCUUGGAGCUCCUGGGAUGGACAGGAUGUACCCGACCAAGGCGAUCUCGAUACCGAGGUGGCAGACUGGUCUUACUGGCCCUCAACAUAGCCCUCACGGCCGCGGGACUUGACUGCAGCCUCUUGUCAGCGACUACCCCAUAUAUGGACAAGAAAGCAUGGAACCUACAAUACCCAGCAAGCCUAAGAAUAUCCUGGGGCAGCUGUCAAGCAAUCUCAAUAGGAGUGGAAAGAAUCUCCUCUUGAUCCUGCUUGAAGUAAUUCCUCAGCCCAAAGUCUGCAAACAACGCCAUCGACGCAUUUUGAUCAGUCUUUUCACACAAGUUCGUCCCAGCGCCAUGAUAGCAAGGUUCCAGAGCUAGCUGAGCAGAUCGAGGAUCCAUCUCGAAGUAGCAGCAUUCUUCGACAUGGGGAAUUCUGCCGGCAGGUCAGAGGUGCGAAUUGGGGAUGACGGCAGUAGCACCCUUUUUCAUGGUGCACUUGGAGCUGAGGAUAAUACAGCCUAUCAUAGGGGGUGAAGAGGAAAUUGGUAGAGUCAGUGCGAAUGAGACAGGGAAUUUGGCCUUAUGACGGUGUGUGAGUCAGCCUUUCCAUGGAAAUCAAGAGAAGGAUGGAUGGUACUUGCUCGGUGAAGAAGUUGAGCUCUGCAGCCGGGACCAAUUUGCAAAGCAGCUGUAGAACCCAACACAUAACGGCUCUUCCGAGGAAUGAGCUUAGGACAGGUGUAAGGACAUAUUCGUCACUAUCGCACUAGAGUGUCGUCCACUUUAUCCAAGCAGAACUGUGCGAGCACUUACCUGAGGAGCUUGUCCAUGGUACUUUGCCGAAUAGGAGACCUCCUGACUUUGCUAACAAGGUCGGGAUCCUUCCUCUAGUGACCGUAAAAUGGGGUUGAAACGUCAAGUGAUAAAUCAAGGCCGACCUCCUUGUGCACAGAAGUAGACUUGUAAACGUCUCGAGCUGCAAAAUGAGGUUCAAUCGUCUCGAGAAACUGGCGAUGAAGCUCGGGAUAGAGGAAAUUCUUUGACAACGACAGCGCCAUCUUGAGUGAUUGCUUCAGGCAUUUUCGGGCUCGGACACGCCGACAUAGGCAACAGAGGAGGUGGCAAUGGUCAUGUUGAGAAGUCAACUUUGGAGUCGCAAAAGGUAUGAGGUAGGCAGGCAAAGAUUCGAGUAAGUCUGAAAGUGAAUGAAGGUGCUGCAUUGUCGAGGUACGUCUUUGAAAAUAUCAGCUGGUGUGUAUAACGGAAUAUGGCCCCACUAUCAUGUUACAGGAUGAAUCUCCAUAGAAGUAUGUAUGCACUCCAGGUUCCAACACUCG
rnacentral:sRNA from 1 species